AAGCAUCAUCAGAAACCGACCAUACUGGCUUCCUGAUCUCAGACUUUCAGCCUCCAGAAUGGAAGACACUCAGCAGCACAUUUCUGCCUUGAAUCAAUUCCCAGUAGAGUUAGAAGACCAAACUACUGCAGGCUGAAAAGCACCUGAAUGGUGGACAUUGUGUCAAGAAAGGUGGUGAACCCUACUCUCGGACUGAGGUGGAGGCAAGGAUAAGUGUGCAUUCUUCAGAAAAGGCUCCAGGGAUCAUCUGGAAGAAG
rnacentral:lncRNA from 1 species